rnacentral:misc_RNA from 1 species
GGCUUCUGUUGGUUUCUACUAAUUACGAAUCAGGCUUUGCUCGUUUAAUUUGGCUAUAAAUUGGGAGCAAAGCGGGCAGUUUUUUGUUUUUCUGUUUUACCCUUUUCAAAUAUUUUAAUGCUCACUAAGGGAAGUUUAUAUAAGAUGAAUAACAUGGAGAUGAAAUUGGUUUAAAUUUGAUAUAUAUAUUGAGCUUUCUAGUGGGAUUAUUUGAUUGUGAAAAACAAGUUAUAUUGGAAGGCAUUAUCAGAUUGAGCUUAAUAUUUUGUCAACUACCCGUUAUAGUAAGUAUGAGGUCCUAGUUACUUUUCAUUGACAGUUGCUGAUGUAUGAUUUUUGCUCCUCCUCUAUGAUCUAAUAGUCUAAUGCUGUAUUGUAUCCACACUUACGUUUCAUACACUGAUUACUUGACUUGUCUGUAAUGGUUUUCAAAUGCCUACUUGCACACUUACGUCCUUGGAACACUGACAGUAUGCACUAUUUUUAUAUGUUGAUAAUGAUUUGGAAGUAUUGUGUGUGUGUGUGUGUGUGCGU